AUGUAGUUCUCUAGUACAGAUUCCUUAAUUCCCUCUCCCAGAGCAGGUUUGUGUGCAUCACAUCUGCAGUGUUCCUAAUGAGUUGCUAAUGAGGCUUUGUAAAUGUGGAGGCACAGCCAAUGAGGUGGUGGUGCUGUGAGGCUGAUGCACUAUCUAGAGCUUUUUUGGAGGUACCAUUUGUAAGAGUCUCCCUACACUUAACAAGCAUGUUUUCCCAUGUAACUCUAAAGCCCUGAACUUUGAGAGAGGUGUGAGACUGAGGAGACUUCAUUGGUGCUGAUGCCAUGAAUGGAGAAAGACGCUGAUGGAUAAUUCAAGCAAGGGAGGAGUCUGAGCAGUGGCAAUGUCUGUCUCUUCUGGCAUAAAUUAUUGUCAGUAGGAUUAACAAAAGUAACAGCAGAGAGCAAGGACUCGGCCAUGCACUCUCCAAGCGGUUGUUGUACAGAUUGCAGUCAGAGCAUCCAGGGGAAAUUUGAUGCAAAGCAGUUACCAGUCCUUGCCAGGCCAUUACCAACCUGCCCUCAUAAUGGAAAUAGACUGGCCAUUGUGCAUUCAGCCCUCACAUACAGAAAAUACUGAAUUCUAGCCAAGAAGGACAGAGUAUUUUGCUUUGUUUGUGAACAGAAGAGCGUUGCCUGGAGGACUUCCUCAUUAAUGCCAAUAAAAGCAGAACCCAGACAAGCUUGCCUGACCGCACUUCCCAGCUGUAAGGAGUGGAUUCCAUCUGACUGUUAAACAGAACCACAUUUCCAAAGGGAUCUAUAAAAGGCAUGAUGAGGUAGCCAGAGUGGAUUCCCCGCACUUAUUAGACCAUACUCUGCAGAGCAUAAGUGGCAUCCUGAAAUACGUGUCCAUCAGAGAUGUGAAUUCUGGCUGCUGUUUUUAGACUACUUGUAAGUUUAUUCACAAGACCUAUUUGGAGCCCCCUAAGCAGAAUCUACAUUCAUCAAAGUCAUGCUUCUAUUGCUGUUUGUCCAGGAUUCUUGUAUCUACCUUUGCAUUGAACCAAAUCCUGAUUUUGAGUUGCCUACACUGAAAUAUGGAUAUGGCAUAUUUGUAAAUGGGAGAAGAAAGUUACCUGAGUCACACGAAGAAUGUAUCAUACAUGUAUAUCACCUUCCACUACCUUUCUUGAUAUCUGGCACAUCUGAAACUUUACAGUUGAGAAGAAAUGAAAAAAUUAGAAAAACAGAUUGUCUUGAUGCAAAGCAUGGAGAACUGCAGCGCAUACCACUGCAGGCACUGCCGGGCAAGAUCUGAGCUGAGAAGAACACAACCUGUGUUCGCACUGGCUAACACACACUGGUGAUGUGCGUAUCUGUACAAGCUCCUCUGGAAGAAGUCUAGCUGCUGCUUGUUAAGCGGCUUCUUUUUUCCUGAUGCUUACUGGAAGGAAGCUGUAUAGUCUAGGAUCCUGGAGCUUAUCUAUUCACUUGCCAUCUCCUAUUAGAAGAGUGAAUCCAGGAUGUCCACUUCUGAAGGACACAGGUCUUUCUAGAAAGGAUAUACAGCUCUCCGUCUUAGUGAAUUUCAAGGACUCUUGCUGUUGGCUGGCAGCACUUCUCACCACCUUUAUCAGUAACAGGUGAGGAAACUAAGGAACGCAAACAUCAGGUGAACUGUCAAGAGCCACACACAUUACAGCAGGGCUGAAGAAUGCCAAAUACUAACAUCCUUGGUCUGAAAG